rnacentral:sRNA from 1 species
GUGUCAACUCGGCCAAUAUAGAAUAACUCGCCAAUACAGAAAAAAUCUAUAUUGGCGAGUUAUUCUGUAUUGGCCCAGUUUACAC